AACGAACGCUGGCGGCAUGCCUAACACAUGCAAGUCGAACGAAGCCUUCGGGCUUAGUGGCGCACGGGUGCGUAACGCGUGGGAAUCUGCCCUGGGGUACGGAACAACAGUUAGAAAUGACUGCUAAUACCGUAUGAUGUCUUCGGACCAAAGAUUUAUCGCCCUGGGAUGAGCCCGCGUAGGAUUAGGUAGUUGGUGGGGUAAAGGCCCACCAAGCCGACGAUCCUUAGCUGGUCUGAGAGGAUGAUCAGCCACACUGGGACUGAGACACGGCCCAGACUCCUACGGGAGGCAGCAGUGGGGAAUAUUGGACAAUGGGCGAAAGCCUGAUCCAGCAAUGCCGCGUGAGUGAUGAAGGCCUUAGGGUUGUAAAGCUCUUUUACCCGGGAAGAUAAUGACUGUACCGGGAGAAUAAGCCCCGGCUAACUCCGUGCCAGCAGCCGCAGUAA
rnacentral:rRNA from 1 species